rnacentral:rRNA from 1 species
UAGUCAUAUGCUUGUCACAAAGAUUAAGCCAUGCAUGUCUAAGUAUAAACUAAUUUAUACGGUGAAACUGCGAAUGGCUCAUUAAAUCAGUUAUAGUUUACUUGAUCGUAUCUUCUACUUGGAUAACCGUAGGAAAUCUAGGGCUAAUACAUGCUAAAAAUCCUGACUACCUUUCGGUCGGAAGGGAUGAAUUUAUUAGAUUAAAAACCAAUGUGGGGUUCGCUCCACUCCCUAGGCGAUUCAUGAUAACGCAUCGAAUCGUGGUGUAUUCCGCGAUGAUACAUACAAAUUUCUGCCCUAUCAACUUUCGAUGGUUGGAUAGAGGCCAACCAUGGUCGUUACGGGUAACGGAGAAUUAGGGUUCGAUUCCGGAGAAGGAGCCUGAGAGACGGCUACUACUUCCACGGAAGGCAGCAGGCGCGCAAAUUACUCAAUCCCGACACGGGGAGGUAGUGACAAGAAAUACCAUUGUAAUGUCUCCUCGAGAGGCUUACGAUUGGAAUGAGUACAAUUUAAAUCCCUUAACGGGUAACGAUU